CCCAGACUCCUACGGGAGGCAGCAGUGGGGAAUAUUGGACAAUGGGGGAACCCUGAUCCAGCGACGCCGCGUGAGUGAAGAAGUAUUUCGGUAUGUAAAGCUCUAUCAGCAGGGAAGAAAGGAAUGACGGUACCUGACUAAGAAGCCCCGGCUAACUACGUGCCAGCAGCCGCGGUAAUACGUAGGGGGCAAGCGUUAUCCGGAUUUACUGGGUGUAAAGGGAGCGUAGACGGUUACGCAAGUCUGGAGUGAAAGGCGGGGGCCCAACCCCCGGACUGCUUUGGAAACUGUAUAACUGGAGUGCAGGAGAGGUAAGUGGAAUUCCUAGUGUAGCGGUGAAAUGCGUAGAUAUAACGCAGAACUCCGAUUGCGAAGGCAGCAUACCGGCGCGCAACUGACGCUCAUGCACGAAAGCGUGGGGAUCGAACAGGAUUAGAUACCCGUGUAGCA
rnacentral:rRNA from 1 species